GUGGGGAAUAUUGGACAAUGGGCGAAAGCCUGAUCCAGCCAUGCCGCGUGUGUGAAGAAGGUCUUCGGAUUGUAAAGCACUUUAAGUUGGGAGGAAGGGUAGUAACCUAAUACGUUGCUACUUUGACGUUACCGACAGAAUAAGCACCGGCUAACUUCGUGCCAGCAGCCGCGGUAAUACGAAGGGUGCAAGCGUUAAUCGGAAUUACUGGGCGUAAAGCGCGCGUAGGUGGUUCAGUAAGUUGGAAGUGAAAUCCCCGGGCUCAACCUGGGAACUGCUUUCAAAACUGCUGAGCUAGAGUACGGUAGAGGGUGGUGGAAUUUCCUGUGUAGCGGUGAAAUGCGUAGAUAUAGGAAGGAACACCAGUGGCGAAGGCGACUACCUGGACUGAUACUGACACUGAGGUGCGAAAGCGUGGGGAGCAAACAGGAUUAGAAACCCUAGUAGUCC
rnacentral:rRNA from 1 species